ACCUGAAGAUGUGGACAUUUAUGAAGUAAUUCCCUGAAAUGCUCAUAGUUCUCAAAGAAAAGUUUCUCAUCCGUCUGUUUGAAACUUGUAAUUGCCCUUCGCAGCU